AGUGGAAUGAGUUUCCUGGUGAAUUCCUGGCUGCCUUAUUCAUUGUGGGAGUCCUGCUGGAAUCUUGUUCAGCCAGGAGAUAUGAAUGUGCAGAAAAGCUACUAAGCCCUCUAACUAGGGGGAAGAUGUCUCUAUCCCAGGAACAUCUCAGACCUCUAUCCUUUGCCUUUCUCAGAUGGUGAUGAAGGCAUCGUGGGAGUCCGGGGUCCUCCUGGCAUGAUGGGUCUAAAAGGCUUCCCGGGUCCGAAAGGCGAAAGAGGUGAUCGGGGGCUUCUGGGACCCAAAGGAGAAAGAGUAAGAACAUUCCAGAUUGUGACUUUCUGGGCAGAUGGGGUAAAAGGAUUCAGGAUUUUAUAGUUAUGAGUGAACAGAUGGACAGUUAUCUAAAUGAGUCAGAGAUCUUAGAAGAUAAAGAUGUAAAUGGUAAAUAAUAUUUAUAUGUGUUUUCAAAUAUCAUAGAAUUGUAGAAUCACAGCCUGGUUUGGGUUCAAGGGAGCUCAAAGCUCAUCCAUUUCCAACCUCCUGCCACGGGCAGGGA
rnacentral:lncRNA from 1 species